rnacentral:precursor_RNA from 1 species
GAGGACCGUAUUCAUGGAAGAGGAUUGAACAGACUACUGAGUUCUUAAGAGAAAAAUGGCACUUAAGAAAUUGAUGGUGAUAUCAAAGGAAGGUUACUUAUUACUCUUGGACUUUGAUGAUGAGGACGAUGACAUAAAAGUUUCAGAGGAGGCUCUUGCGGAAGAGAUGAAGUAGACAGUAUGUUGGAUAAAUCUGGAGUAAAGAACCCAGCAAUUGGUAAAGAUGAGAAUAUAUCGCCUCAAGUAAAAGGAGAUGAAGACAUGGGAGAUGAAAUUGACAGUAUGUUGGCUACAUCUGGAGGGGUUUGCCCCACAUCCUCUAUAUUGCAGAAAACAAGACUAGGCUCUACCUCUGUAGAUCAAGCACGACUGAAAUCCGUGCUCUCAAAAGAUGCUGGGGAGAAAGAGUGCCAUUCUUCACAAAUGCUGAUGUGUGCAGCUGAACAGAGCGUUGAGGAAACGUCAGUGAUUUUAUAACUACUUAUCAUGUUGGGAGAUUGUUGUGAUGAUUGCCUGGACUCUCAGAUGUUACACAGGCUGCAUCAUUGGACUGAAAGUGAAUGGCCCAUGUGUUGCCACUGAUGUGAGCCAUUUGCCUGUUGUGCUUCA